rnacentral:rRNA from 1 species
AUUCCAGCUCCAAUAGCGUAUAUUCAAGUUGUUGCAGUUAAAAAGCUCGUAGUUGAAUUUUGGCGCUGGGGGUGUGGUUUGGGCUCACGCUCAACACUGCAGCCCUGGGGCUUUCCUUCUAGGGAGCCAGUGUGCCAUUCAUUUGGUGGGCUGGGGAUCUAGGACAGUUACUUUGAGAAAAUUAGAGUGUUUAAAACAGGCGUUUGCUUGAAUAUAUUAGCAUGGAAUAACGGAAUAGGACUUUGUCUUAUUUUGUUGGUUUAGGAGACAAAGUAAUGAUUAAUAGGGACGGUUGGGGGGCAUUAGUAUUCCACAGUCAGAGGUGAAAUUCUUGGAUUUGUGGAAGACUAACUUCUGCGAAAGCAUUUGCCAGGCACGCUUUCAUCA